CUAUUUUCCAAUUACAGCACAAGAGCGCAUUAUGAAAAGAAACUAGAAAGAAAAAGUCAUAUAUUUAUGAAAUUAAUUGUAAUUUCUGGCUGUACGCUAAGUUCCUUUGCGUGCACUGGCGAAUACCAGAAUUAAAAAACAAAAUUUUAAUUGUUUUCAAAACAAUCUCGAGCAGUUUUUAUUUUGCUUUUUCUAGAUUUGUUGUUACUUUGUGAGUGAAUUUAACGUUAAAUAAAAAUUAUGAGAUUUAUCGAGCGUUCUUCUCAUCCGACAUUGGCGCAAAUAGAGGCAUUAAUAAAUGUUUUGGGUUAAAAGCUAGCGAAACAAAAGGAUUAAUCGAAUCUCAACAUGUUCAAUAAGAGAACAAGGAACAAAUAUAGGAGAAAAUAUAGGAAUUUAAUUCUCGUCAGUUAAGAUCCAUUCCCGCACCUCAACACCUGACCUGCUAUUACACCACUUUUACAAUGAAACUUACUGAGUACUCAAAUUACUGAGAGAAUUUUGUAGAUAGAGGAACUGUAGGUGAAGAUUCAGGGUGAUCAUAAUAAUAUGUGUGUCGUCCAAAGCAUUUUUGAACACAAUACCAUGUAUAACUUAAUGAAACUUACAACCAUGGGGGAAUGAAUAGUCGACAAUCUGCAAGAAGGACGGUGGAAUUAGCACAUGCAGCUAGCAAUUUUAAACCUGUAUUUCCACAUAAGUUACUGUUGCAAACAAAUUUCAAAAUUAUUGUAUAUAACUAUUGAAUAAAACUAUUUUUAUAAAUCAUUAA